ensembl:lncRNA
CACACACACACACACACACACACAUAUACACUCAAGUGUGAUGGUGCCACAGCAGAAUCUUAAGUACCUUAUGCAAACUGUAUGUUUGUUGGAGGCACAGGCUGAGAGCUGAUGAGUGGCUCAUUAUGGCAACACCAGCACUACACACUGGGUAUCGCAUAAUCAAAGCCUGGGGGUACGUAUUAAUUAUCCUUUUGAAUAGUGAUGAAAUUUUAAAAAGCCUCUCCUUAAGGCUCACAUCACGGAUAGAUGAAACAAAGCGCAGCGCAGCUUGCGCGCCCAACCUCACAUGUGUUUUUACAUCUGUUCAGGAUAUUUCAAUUUGAUGCUCAACAAGCUGAGACUGAGAUUAAAGGAUAAUAACGUGUCACCCUCCGCACAAGCAUCUCCUCCGGAGCGGGUAAUGGCACAUCAGCAGGCAGGCGGCUGGUGGAGGGGGAGCUAGCUAACAGCCAUCACAGGCAAAGUCGCGCGCGUGUCUCCCGCUUGUCUCCCAGUCAAGGUUGCCGAGGCGCCGCCUGUGUCUUUCUCCUCACUCGUACACACGGUUGAGUAGGAAAAGAGGGUACGGGGGAGAAAGCCGACAGCCGAGAGAGGGGGGGGGGGGGGGGUGUGAGGGGAGUUGUGUUUUCUCUUUUUAAAGAAAGCGUUGUCUUUAAUGAACAUGUUUAAAGGUUGUCUCACCAUCUAUAAUUGAUACGGCGGCGCUUUGGUCGGGGAAGGAGCUUCCUGAACACCUGCCUCGCUGUAGAGGAGUGGCUGCUCCCGGCGUGCUGUAGAGGGACCGCGGGAUACAAACGCACUGUGAGCAUCGAGAUAUUUGGUGCGGAGCUGCUGAUUGACCCUCAGAGACCGGACGCACGUGGUGGUGGUGGUGGACGCGCAGAAGAGAGGCAGUGGCGGGACGGUGAGGGACAAAAGCAGAUAUGAGGGAUUGCGAUUCUGCAGUCGCACGAAAUGUAAACUGACAUUUUCCCAACCUGGUUUCCGUUUGUCCUCGCGGUUAAAAAAUGGCAAACUCCAGCUGCACUAAGGGCCCAGUCUGCAGGCGUGACGUCACUUUGCACGUGUGGAACCAUUGACGACGUCACACUGAAGCUCACUUUCUUUCAUGAUGAGUUCUCCCACCGAUGAAGGCGCCAGCCGGCAAAGAUAAGCUUUUUUUUAGUCUUGCUCUCUCUUAUCAAGCAAAUGUAUUUUUGGUAAAGAUUAAACUGCAGGAAUGUGAUGUGAUAUCUUUUUCGAUAUGUAUUGGGGGGGACGGACUAUUGACUGUUGUUCAUCCAUGGGAUGCGUACUGCUAUCGUGGAAGUACAACGGGAAUUUUGUAAUACCCUUAAAAAAAACUUCCGACAAAUAACCCGACUUUUAAUAGUGAAUACUUUAUCCUACAUUUGCCAUAAUCGUUCGUUUGACCCUCCACGCCCGAUAAAUGCCCAUGUUGUAGCUUGAGGGCCUUCGCAUAUAAGGGGGAUUUCUGCUCUGAUUAAAAUGUGCGCAUUAAUAAAUCUUUUUGAACUAUUAUUUUUGUCAUGAAUACUUUCACAAAGACUAUUUUACAUUUUCAAAAAGCGGUGUUAUUAUAUACAGUUUAUCUUUUAGGAAGGGGUCAAUAUUUCUUAUAUUUUUCCUUGUGAAUGAAACAGACAUGUAGAUGCACACUAGUGUACAACAACAGUGUGGAAAUAUUAACAGGGAGAAAUUUACUCUACUAAAAGGAAACUCAAUGACUCAAUAAAAUGUGCAUCUGUAUUAGUUAACUUAAAGUAAUGGACAAACAGUUCAAAUAUUUAACUACUGGAGAAAUAGUUUGAAUACUUAAACUAUAAUAGUAAUAAUUGAACACGUUAUCUUACAAUGAUGGAUGCAGCUGGAUUAUCUUUAAGUAACUGUUGAGAUUGUACCUGAAAACACACUGCUUGCUUUGCGAGAGGUUUUUAGUUUUUCCCCCCUCUAAUACGUGAAAUAUGAAACCAACUUCUGCAGUUGCACAGCAUCAAAAGUCAAGCAGCCAACCUCCAUGACACCGUGCAUCAGACCCCCUUUGGUUCAGCAGAGCUGCAUUUGUCUGCGUGUCUCCCUCCAUGACCAGAGCGGCUGAUCUAAUCGCCUGCUACUGCCGCUGUAGUAGAUACACCCUCGGUGAUGACAGCGCGGGUGAGCAGGUGAGGUCACAGCCAAUUGUCACUAAUGGGAGCGAGAUCAGUCGCAGCACCGGCAACUGUGUAGAAAGUCUAACCUUAUUAUUUACAAAGCUUGCACCUCGAACCUCAUCAGUCUCAAACGGGGCGCGCGGGGAGAGCGGAGAUUAUCGCAGUCAAAAUAGAAAGAAGCGAGGGGGGGGGGUGGGGGGGGGACAAGCCAUACUGUAGCUGUCAAGAUUUCAUCCUGUCUGUGUUUCUCCUUUACAAGUGCCUCGCUGUAUGUAAACACACCCACACAAAGACACGCACACACACACACACACACAGACACUGCCAAAAGUACACGCCUGUGGGCUCACACCCUCAAUUUCUUCCAGUGAAGGAUGUUGGAAAAAGCUGUCAGACUUUCACAAAAGCAAAAGCAAAUUUAUUUAUUUAUUUGAGUUCAGAGUAAUUACAGGCAUUACCGCGGCGCUCGGCUCUGACAUCUCUUUAUAGAAUCGGGUUCAGGGUGCGCCGGGUAGAGACGUGCCGGGGAGGAAAUGUGACUCUUUUCCUCUUCUAAUCUCUAAUCAAAUUAAAUAGGUGAGCUCUUUUUCCUGCUCUCUCUCUCUCUCUUUUUCUCCUCCCCUCCCUCCCUCCUCCCCCAUCACAUGAGACGAGAGGGAGGAUGAGCUUUGCCUGAACUGCUAAGCGUACUGGAUUUGGAUACCAUAACAGUUUUUUGCUUGUCAGCACUUCCAUCAUUUCUGGUCCAGAGGAAUUUUUAAUACUACGCAUAGGAAAAAAGAAAAAAACACACCAGAGCCAAGGACCCUAUUGAACGUAUUUGUUUCCAUUUCCGGCUAUUUGGCAAAGAUGAGACUACAUAAAUGUGUGAUUCAUUCCUGCCGAACACAGUGGGUUCUGUGGAAAUACUCCAUGCCUUUUUCUUUGACUCUAAAUAAUUGAAGAGAAAGCGAGAGAGAGAGAGAGGAAGGCCUCCGCAGGCUUCAUAUUGAGUUUUUCUUACUGACUUUUCCCUCCCCAACAUCUGUUCGUGCUGGCACAAAGAUUCAUUCACUCGGAUGUGAUGAGAUGACAACGCGGCCGUCUGAGGAAUCGCGGCUUUGAGCAUCAUUUGACAAAGUAAGCGAGAUGAAGACGGGCGCAGGUACAACGUGGUCAGACUCCGCUGGGUCUGCAGAUGCUCGCACUCCUCCUGCAACACGAGCACCACCGGGCGCCCCGGGGCCCUGACAGAAGAGAUGUGACAUAUUUAUAAAAAAAAAAAAGUGUGAGGGGGGGGGGGGUGAAAACAACUUCCUCUCACUAUGAAAAAAAAGAAGAAAAAAAGCAAAGGAAAAGCCUGUGUUUUACAUCUCUUUCACAACGACCGCUUCGGGGACAGUUUAUGUGCGGGAGACAAAGACACUUUGACACUGUCAGCUUCUGUCACUGAAGCUUCCGAUGGUUGCUGGCGAGGCGCCCCUGCAGCAAAACGGCCUGCUCGUCUCGGGCGCGCGGGUUGAUCUGCGUGUGUGUGUGUGUGUGUGUGUGUGAAAUGACUGGAUCUUUUGUGUGUGUGACUUGAUGUCUGGAGGCCUUUAUGAUAAUGAAUGGUAGUCCCCCCCCCCCCCCCCCUCCUCCCCAACAGCACUUAAACAUACCAAUAAAUAAAACAUAGAUACUCCUCGAUUGUGGUUGAUUCUCACCCAGGAAGAGGCGCGGCCCCCCGUUAGCUCGCUGCCACUUUAAGGCAGCGCGGCUUAGCUGCGAUACAAAUACACCAUCAUAAACACUUAAGAUGAACAAUCCACCUGAGACCCGGAAAGGAGCCCUUUUAUCCACGCUGAAGGAGAGCUAUACAUAAUUAAGAGAGGAAAGUGUAAAGAUGUAAUUGCGAGGUUGUUGAUAAUCUUGAUUACCGUUAUUAUUAAGUUGUUUUAAAGGCUUCAUGACUCUGAGCCAUAUUUAGAGGGCCUAACUUAUUAAUCAGGCAGCUGUUUGCAGAAGCUCUUUGGAGAGAUGCAGCAGUAGCGGUGCAGGAACAAGCAGUGCGAGUGUGUGUAAAUGGGGAAAGUAUAUUAUUUUACACAACAUUAGAUAGUUGGACCUGAAAAAAUGAUAAAUUGAGAUUAGAAAGAAUAUAAAAGUCAGCGCGCAAAAGGAAAUAGAGCCGGCAAAAUGAUUCAACACAAUCAGAACAAAUGAUAAAUCGGUGACUGCAUGAAAACCAAAAAACAGAAUGCACACUGGGCCUUACGGGUUCUUCUUUGUAAUCUCUGGAAGGAGUCUUUGUGUAAUUCAGUCACGUGGUGCUACCCCGAGGUCUGAGGUUUGGCCUUCAGGUGAGUCUGCCGUCCGAGCUCAGCUGACCCCCCCCUCGCCCCCUCCUGGCUCCUGCCGCCGCUUUUCAGAAAAAAACGUGGAAUAGAAGGAAGAAGAAGAAAAAUCAAACGUUGAUGAGUGAGAAAACACCGGCAGAUGUAUAUUUCCAGAUGCAGGAUUUUCUUUUGAGGGAGAAGGGCUCAAAUAUCAGAACCAACCACUGCUAAAACAUUUUAGAGGACUAGUAGUCAUGAUUCAUCUGUAAGUCUGAUCAUUAGUUAUCUUGGCAUCCAUAGAAAUGUGUUAUUCCAUUUUCAUCAGAUGCUUUUUUGGGACUUAACAAUCUAACGUUUUCCCUCUGUCUUCAUUCAGUUAUAAAUCGCAGGGAUCUGGACGUAUUAGCGUGUCACAUCUGGCAGGUGGCAGAUAAAUCAACGCGUCGUUCCUACGUCUUGCUCUGCGGCCUUUGUGGCCAAACGCAGCGGCAUCUCAGGCAGGUGAGCGCGGCGGCGCGUGUGUGAUGGCGCUCGUCGUCACAGUCACACUGCCCUCCAUUGGUCAAAGCUCACAUCACAACAACUUUGCUGAGGGUCGAGUCAGUAUUGACGUUCCAAUUUGACUAAUGGCGGGGGCAGGAGGGGUGAGGUGUGAUGAAAUGAUUGAAGAUCAAGACUUACGAGUCAAGGUCCAACUUGUUCCCAAAAGUACAUAAAGUAUAGUUCAUGUUUGCCAGACUUUCCCUUUUCUUCCGUCCUCUGCGAAAAGGUCAAAAUCACACGAGCGUCAUCACACUUUCAUUACGUCUGCCAAUAACAAUGUAGACCAUACGCUGUUAAUUCAUAACAGCAUCAGGAUGGAUGAGGUUACACAAGCAUGUUGCACUACACACACAGUGGUCAUCACACUGCUCACCCGUCUCCUAACAUGUGGGAAAGCCCUGAUGGCGUUCCUGACGCCACAUGUUGCAUUGCUGGCAGAGUUGUCAUUCAUUCAAGCAGCGACGUGGUCAGGUGACUCUCCUCUCCCUGCACAGCGUUUGUCGCAGUGCAUCAAUUUUGACCCUUUUUUUGAGCGUUCAUGAAGCAACUUCACAGCCGAAUUAAGACACUGUUUAUUUGUCAGUCGUUAAAUUAAAAAAAUACCAACAUGUAAUUGUUUGUACCUUAUAGUCUCGGGAGGGAAAAGAGGAGAAGCGGCCACUUAAUAUCCACUUUAUCUGAACUGGAUCUGUGUUACAACGCUGUACUAAAGAGAAUGCUGAAACAUAUUGCAGUGACUCAUGUCCCUUCAGGGUCCCGGGACGUGUCCUCAGACUUCAUGCAGGUCGCCUCCUCACAGCACGGCAGCUUCAGCACAUCUGUACAGUGAUUCAGCACAUCUGCCGCAUUGCUUUGAAGAAGUGACCCAGCAGUUUGUCUUCCGUCACUUUAGCAAGUGACACGCGGGCGUUUCUCCAUCCGCUGCUCCUCUCUGGCUCCUACAGGUGCUUCCACGCACCUGUUCGGGCCCCCAUCAUCAUCAUCAUCAUCAUUCUCACCACUAGGUGGGACUCCACGUGGUUGCCGGCGCGGCCCUGACGUACGAGGAAACCUUUCAUUGACGGUCAACAAAAGGAGGAUGUGAGAGUCGACGAAAGGAAGCAGCUACAGAGCUGCACGCAGCACGAGGCCGCCCACGUUCCAGUUAUUAGACUGGCCCCGUCGGUCGGGGCAGCAACGGCCUCUUUGCAGCACUUUAGUCGUGGCGCUUGUGGGGAGACGGCGUGCUGACGUCAGAGGGCACACGGCUGUGCAGUGGUUUGAUUGGUUAAAGGUUACUACGCCAAACUAUUUUAAAGGGAUAUGUUAACGUGUAAAGAACUUUAGGUACAUUAAACAGGAUGUUUGAGGUCUCGUACAAACACACACAUUCAUCGACAGACUCAAAUUUCACACUGACGUCAUAAUUAGUGCUCAAAGACGUGUCCAUUUUCUGUGCGCGUGACGUGUGAUCUUCCACGUGACCCCGAAGGGAAAGCUGCCCUGGCGUCGGAGUCGUGACUGAGUUAAACACGGACCACAUCAUAAACAGUGAAAACAGCUAUUGUUAUGUGAUAAUGAAGUGAAAAAGUUUUGGGUUUUUUGUGCCCGACUGAGAGGCCUGACUGGAAUAAUGAGUGCUUAACAUCUGGGAGGCGAGCCCAGCUUUGCAUUUAAGAAACCGCUCAUGUUUAGGAUACGGCUGCGAUUGAGACCAGAUGGUACAGAGAAAAAAAAGAAAAAGCACUUCAUUUUUCAUUACGUUCUCAUUGCAUGGAAGUCCUUUCAGACACAAUGGCCCCCGCUCUACAUCUCCGUGGAAUCCGUAAGGACACAAUGAAGCUCGUGAGGAACCCGGCGACUCAUCUUCGAACUUUGAUGAAAAACGCCCAGUGAGCCGGAGUAAAGAUCCUCCUCUUCAUCCAGCGAAUCAAAGCGCCACGUAAUGUGCAGUGCUCUAGGCACAUCCACCCCCCCCCCUCCCCCAGGGGCCAGAAUGAUGGUUUGACUGGAGGAUGGAGGGGGGUCAUGAGGAGCCGGUCAACGCAAAGGAGCGGGGCGAGAAGAGGAGAGGGAGGGGGAGGCGGACGGGGGGGGAAGG